rnacentral:lncRNA from 1 species
UUUUUCCUCCUGCAGUGUGUCAGCAGACAGCUCUUUAUGCACAGGCAGGAGCUCCGCCGACAGCUCUAGAGUUCAGGAGGAGUGCACCAUCAUGAAGCAUGGACGAGCCCAGAAAGGCCUGUCCCAAACCUGAUCCAGUGUCUGACAAAAAUGAAUGGAAUUGCAAUUAAAAAGGUAAGAAAGACGUGAAAACAGUCAUAUUUUUUUCCUGCGGCAACUUCGUCAUCGUAAUCAUAUUUUGGUGUUGACUGAAAUUUACUU